AGUUUACAAAAGCACCUGCCUGCUUCUCUGUGGAUAAACACAGGGACCUAUCUCCAGCAGAUGCAAUGACUUGAAGAUGAAGCCCCAUCUGCUGCAUUGGCUCUGCGCCUUCUGGGACACAGGUGACACUUCUUCACAAACAAGGACUUCUAGGAGUUUUUAAUUGGACCGUGACUCACAUAACUCAUUGAGUGCUGUAGAAGCAGCCCAAGAUGUUCCGGGUCAGUCCCAAGAAACUUGGGCCUGGCAGUCAUCCCAGCUGUGGGGGAAGCCACAUGUUUCUGAAACAAGCUCAACUGGCAGAGCGUUGAUUUUAUGUUUCCCAUCUGUCACUUACUAAGAGGGAGUCUAAUUAGGAAAGUUCACCCCCUGAUGUUUACCAUUUGAGAAACACACACCUCCCAUAUGGAAGAAGCCCGUCUUGAACUGGUAGUGUGUUAAGAGGAGAGCAGCUAACAUAAAUGUACAUUGUGCCUACUGAUGUGUGCAGGGAUAUGGUUCAUGCACACCAGAGUUCAGACACAGGAAGGUCUUUGCUGGAGUUGUUUGCCUUCUCUAAAUGAGGUCAAGGAGGCCUGAGACUCCAGAAAUCAUUAGCUGCCACCUUGGGUGAGUGGAGAUGACAAGCAUAGGCAAAGAAAGAAGUUGGUACGAGUGAGAUCAGAAUCUGUGAAGCUCAUCGGUGUUGUGCACCAACUACCUUUGUUGCUUAUGAGUUUGAGAUCCAGAUGUAGAGAAAAACAAACUCCCAGCUACCUCUCCAGCACCAUGUCUGCCUGCACUCCAUCUGCCAUGCUUCCUGCCAUGAUGACAAUGGACUAAACCUCUGAACUAGGAAGCUCACUCUGGCCAGAGAACAAACUGGACCAUAGACCAGAACAGAUGGAAGACAGACAAGUCCCCAGUCUCAUGGCUUGUAUGUUCUUAACAUAGGGUGCACUUCCCAAGUCCCCUAAAACACCAAUAAGACCACCCCAGAUCGUUGUAACAAACUAUUUGUAAUGUCAUAUGCGUAAUUCUACUGUUCAUGAUCCUCCUUCUGGCUCUGCCAUCAAUACUUUCUCUUUUAAACUAAAGGACGUUUUUAUUAAGGAAAAACUACGAGCCAUGUGGACGUGGCUGAUUUCAUUGACAUGUGGCCCAUGGAUAUUCACUGAUAGGCUUUUUUUCUUUUUUACCAUGAUGAAUUAUAUACAGUGAUAUUGGAACUGAGUUUUUGAGUCAGCAGAACAUUCCUAGGGAAUUUUAGAAAUGACUGUAGUGGGUGAGAUGAAUCACGUGUCAGAGUCUCCAUGGCACAACCCGCUUAGCUACUCCCCAAACCUGAAUGGAUUGCAGGGCCAUCGAUCCACAUCGCAAGGUCUCAGUUUACAGGAGACUCUAGGAACAGCACCUUUGAUCUGCAGUUUUGAAGAUGAAAGCUAAGGAUGGAUGGUUUACUUUUGAAAAUUUCCCCAUGUUCUAUAUUUUCAUAUUCUCACCACAAAUUAUACUCUUAACCCUAGUUAUUAUGGAAUCUUGUGGGAAAGUUAAACAUGGACUUUUACCUUUGGCAAUAUUAUGCAAGUAUUGUCAUGAGUAUAACAUAACUUUCAAAAACGAAAUGCCAAUGCCACUCUUCCUGUUAUGUGAUCAGAAAGUUCUAAAUGUUUGGCAUUUGCAGAAUAUUUUCAUUAGAGAUAUAAACUGUUUAUCCCCCUUUCAUUUUCUUUGGUAUUUUAUUGACAGUAAACUUUCCCCCCCAGUUGAAGGGGGUAUCAUAUGCAUGAUAUGUACGUGUCAUAUGUUAGAGUGAAUAGAAUCAUAAGGCAGACAUAAUCUAAAUAUGCAUUCUUUAAAUUUAGGACAGGGGUUGCUAAACUACUACCCCAAGAGCCAAGUGUUUCUAUUUGUGUAAGUUUUCAGUGAAAUUCAGCUACCCUCAUUCUUGAAUAUAUUCCUGAAUAAUAGUACAGACUGCUAAGUCUGAAGUUGGGCCAAUAGUGCUGACAGUUAAGUCCAGAAUACAGUAUUAGACUGAUAUAAACUUUAUACACACACAAAUCUGAAACUUCUCCUUCAGUCUGUGAAUAAAGCUGUGUCCAGCAUUGCCCCUCUAUCUCACUGAUGUUUUUGUAUUUGUGGUAAAUUUCUGGAUGAAUUCUCUUGAGCCUCUAUGCGGUUCCCAAGGUAUCCUGGAGAGAUGGUAAUUCAAACAUCAUAGUUUAAUUCAGUAAGCAUCUUUUGAAGGACUUCUGCAAUCUUCAAGGCACAAUGUAAGUACAUGCUUAUAUGCAUGUGUUGUCCAAAAAGACUUGGAAGCAGUAGGUAUUGUCACAAAUGGAGAACGCUUUGGUGACUUGCAAAUUUUGGAAUUCUAUUCCUUAUGAAUAUUUGAGGGUUGAAAAAAUUCCCAUGUCCAUCUAAUUUUUGACCUGAUUUCCAUCAAACCAACUGUGCUAGUUGUACAUACCAGAAUAAACAAAACCC
ensembl:antisense A230108P19Rik RIKEN cDNA A230108P19 gene